CACACUUUUGCUUUGAGCAACUUUGGUUUAGAUUACGUAUUGUUGUGUUUGUUUAGUAAGGGUGGACGGCCAGGUGUGUUAAUCUUGUUUUCUCCUGUUUUGUUAGUUAGGGAGAUGGUAGCGGGCGCGGAAGGCCACAAGACGAGCGUAGUAGGCUGGCGCAGGGAUGGAGACUGAGCGGGUACAGCGCACGUACGUGUGGCACAACUGUCAGUACAAGGCAGGAUUAGCCGGG